rnacentral:rRNA from 1 species
GACGAACGCUGGCGGCGUGCUUAACACAUGCAAGUCGAACGGUGAAGCGCCUUCCUUUUUGGUGGGUGUGGAUGAGUGGCGAACGGGUGAGUAGCACGUGAGUAACCUGCCCCCUUCUUCUGGAUAACCGCAUGAAAGUGUGGCUAAUACGGGAUAUUCUGGGUCUGUCGCAUGAUGGGUCUGGGAAAGAUAUUGUUUCGGUGGGGGAUGGGCUCGCGGCCUAUCAGCUUGUUGGUGGGGUGAUGGCCUACCAAGGCGGUGACGGGUAGCCGGCCUGAGAGGGGGGGAGGUCAAAAGGGGGAAGGGAAACGGGACGGGCGCAGAAGGGGAGGAGGGGGGGGGAAAUAUGGAAGAGGGGGGGAAGGCUGGGGGAGGGGAGGGCGGGGGGGGGAGGGAGGCUUUGGGGUGGGGACCUUUUUCGGAAGGGAAAGAGGGACGGCCGGGUUGGGGGGGGGGUGGAGGGGAGGGGGAAAAGAAGCCCCGGAAAACUACGU